CUGUUAAUUAAUUUCUUGAUUAAUAUGCGUGUUUGAGCUGUGCGGUUUCCAACAAACAGCUCGUUGCAUUGUUUGAUAUUAUUUGCUACUUGGUUAUCACGUCACCAACACGUUUUGUUUACUGUAUUGUAUUUAAUUAUUGGAUAACCAUUAACCAGUAACUAAAGACAGUAAACGUAAUUUUCAAUAUUGUUCGUUAAUUCUUCCGACAACCUGGUGGUCAGAAAAUACGUUCAGUUAUCAAUAAAUUUCAGUAAACAAUAUCGCCAAAACAAUUUGUUCAAUAAACAAGACUUUUUAAGAAACCCGUUUACUUAAUAACCGGGUUUCUCAAAACGGUAUCGCUAAAACACGCCAUAUGCAAAUAC